GCAAACUUGGUCAUUUAGAGGAAGUAAAAGUCGUAACAAGGUUUCCGUAGGUGAACCUGCGGAAGGAUCAUUAAUGAAUAAACUCACCUUGAUGGGUUGUCACUGGCCUUCCGAGGCAUGUGCACACCUGUCUUGACAUAUUCAUCCACCUGUGCAUCAUUUGUAGUUCUUCUGAUCUCUGAGGGUCAAUAAUCUUCAGGCUUUUGCAUCCAGUUGAAAUAUAUUGGAUUCUUUUGAGGAUUGCCUUUUGGCUUUCUUCUGUUAAGUUCCUGUAGAAUUGUGAACCUUCUUGAGAAAAUAAGGACUAUGUUUUUAUCAUAAACCAUGUAGUAUGUUGUCAGAAUGUAUUCAAUGGGCCUUUGUGCCUAUAAAACUUUAUACAACUUUCAGCAACGGAUCUCUUGGCUCUCGCAUCGAUGAAGAACGCAGC
rnacentral:misc_RNA from 1 species